CUACGGGGUGCAGCAGUUAGGAAUUUUGCGCAAUGGGCGAAAGCCUGACGCAGCGACGUCGCGUGGAGGAUGACGGCCUUCGGGUUGUAAACUCCUUUUGUUCAACACCAUCGUUGUUCGAAUAAGCAUCUACUAAUUACGUGCCAGCAGUCGCGGUAAUACGUAAGAUGCGAGCGUUACCCGGUUUUAUUGGGCGUAAAGGGUCUGCAGGUGGUCUAAUAAGUCUUGUUUCAAAUUCUCCGACUUAAUCGGAGACCGGGAUAGGAUACUAUUAGACUAGAGUUAUAUCGGAGUUACUGGAAUUUGUAGUGUAGGGGUAAAAUCCGUGGAUACUACAAAGAACACCAAUCGCGAAGGCUGGUAACUAGGUAUCAACUGACACUCAGAGACGAAAGCCAGGGGAGCAAAUCGGAUUAGAUACCCCGGUAGUC
rnacentral:rRNA from 1 species